rnacentral:rRNA from 1 species
AUGCACGCUGGCGGCGUGCCUAAUCCCUGCAAGUCGCGCGAACAGAUAAGGAGCUUGCUCCUUUGACGUUAGCGGCGGACGGGUGAGUAACACGUGGGUAACCUACCUAUAAGACUGGAAUAACUCCGGGAAACCGGGGCUAAUGCCGGAUAACAUUUAGAACCGCAUGGUUCUAAAGUGAAAGAUGGUUUUGCUAUCACUUAUAGAUGGACCCGCGCCGUAUUAGCUAGUUGGUAAGGUAACGGCUUACCAAGGCAACGAUACGUAGCCGACCUGAGAGGGUGAUCGGCCACACUGGAACUGAGACACGGUCCAGACUCCUACGGGAGGCAGCAGUAGGGAAUCUUCCGCAAUGGGCGAAAGCCUGACGGAGCAACGCCGCGUGAGUGAUGAAGGUCUUCGGAUCGUAAAACUCUGUUAUUAGGGAAGAACAAAUGUGUAAGUAACUGUGCACGUCUUGACGGUACCUAAUCAGAAAGCCACGGCUAACUACGUG